UCGAGCGAAUCGAUGGGAGCUUGCUCCCUGAGAUUAGCGGCGGACGGGUGAGUAACACGUGGGCAACCUGCCUAUAAGACUGGGAUAACUUCGGGAAACCGGAGCUAAUACCGGAUACGUUCUUUUCUCGCAUGAGAGAAGAUGGAAAGACGGUUUACGCUGUCACUUAUAGAUGGGCCCGCGGCGCAUUAGCUAGUUGGUGAGGUAAUGGCUCACCAAGGCGACGAUGCGUAGCCGACCUGAGAGGGUGAUCGGCCACACUGGGACUGAGACACGGCCCAGACUCCUACGGGAGGCAGCAGUAGGGAAUCUUCCGCAAUGGACGAAAGUCUGACGGAGCAACGCCGCGUGAACGAAGAAGGCCUUCGGGUCGUAAAGUUCUGUUGUUAGGGAAGAACAAGUACCAGAGUAACUGCUGGUACCUUGACGGUACCUAACCAGAAAGCCACGGCUAACUACGUGCCAGCAGCCGCGGUAAUACGUAGGUGGCAAGCGUUGUCCGGAAUUAUUGGGCGUAAAGCGCGCGCAGGUGGUUCCUUAAGUCUGAUGUGAAAGCCCACGGCUCAACCGUGGAGGGUCAUUGGAAACUGGGGAACUUGA
rnacentral:rRNA from 2 species